rnacentral:rRNA from 1 species
AUGACAAGUUCAGGACCUGCAGUGCUAUUACCUCCUGCAUUAGCAAUGCAUAUGGCUCCUCCAUGUUUAAAGGAGGCAAGCCAGACUUCUAUCUUAAUGCCCGGGGGGAGAGCACACCAGAGAGGUUUUGGCGCAGCGUUCAACUUGCUGCUUUUAUUGUUCCCCUUUUAUUCUGAAUCACAGAUGAACAUAACAGAUCUGCACAAUCCGCGAGCUGAGAACACAACGAAAAAACGGCUGGAUUUCUUAUUAAACUCAGGAGAAAAACCUCAAACAGUUCAACUGACGAAACCGGAAGUGUAG